CAUAUGACAGCAGCAGAGAAAACAAAAAUAUUCACACCAGCAUAAAUCCGGAAAAAAAAAGUGUGGCCUUUUGGAAAACAAUUUCAAGUUUUCUGUUUUCUUCUUUUUUAAUUAUAUUGUAAUCGAUUCUAAAAUGGGAUACCAGCACAUUCCAUAAGGGAGGAAAAAAACUACACAACAAAAUCAGCAAAAAGAAGUGGUGCAGCUGAAAACUAGCAAGAAAGCCAUUACACAAGCUGAAUAUGCAGGGAAUGGAGAAAACUUCAUGUGGGAGUGGGAAAAGACUAUUCUAGUUGGGAACAAGUGUCCAGUCAUGCAAUGACACUGCUACUGCACUAGAUGAUGUCACAAACCCAGGAGUAUAACAAGGCUAUUGAAAAGGACACUGUUCUGGGGUUUAGGAUUUGCUUUAAUCACUUCUCAACCCGUGCCAUAAAGUACAGCUAGACCGAAGGACCAACACUAGUUUUUGCAAGGGCUGGUAUCUUGUGAAGCAGCAGUAGAAAAAUAAAAUACCUUAUACCCAAGCUUUCAACUUUCCAAAGGGAUACACGUCACUUCUAGUGCAACAGGUCACAGGA